rnacentral:misc_RNA from 1 species
GAUGAAGAACGUAGCGAAAUGCGAUAAGUAGUGUGAAUUGCAGAAUUCAGUGAAUCAUCGAAUCUUUGAUCGCACAUUGCGCCCCUUGGUAUCCCGAGGGGCAUGCCUGUUCGAGCGUCAUUUCACCACUCAAGCCUGGCUUGGUGUUGGGCGACGUCCUCUUUGGGGACGCGCCUCGAAACGCUCGGCGGCGUGGCACCGGCUUUAAGCGUAGCAGAAUCUUUCGCUUUGGAAGUCGGGGCCCCGUCUGCCGGAAGACCUGCUCGCAAGGUUGACCUCGGAUCAGGCAGGGAUACCCGCUGAACUUAAGCAUAUCAAUAAGCGGAGGA